rnacentral:tRNA from 1 species
GGAGAGGUGUCCGAGUGGCCUAAGGAGCGCGACUGGAAAUCGCGUAUCUGCCGAAAGGUGGAUCGCGGGUUCAAAUCCCGCCCUCUCCG